CGGGCAACGAAACUACAACGCCUGGACCAGAUGCCCGGGGACAAAAUAUAACUGUUGCAGCAAACGCCUCACAUCCUUCUACAGUCAUAACUGGUAACGAAACUACAACGCCUGGACCAGAUGCCCGGGGACAGAAUGUAACUGAUGUUCCUUCUGUCACGACGCAACCUGAAACCAAGGAGAUUUGUUGGAUUGAAUUGAUAGCCGUAGGUGAGACAACCCUUCCGUAUCCUACACCAG